UCCAACUGACCUUGGUUAUUUCUGUUUUCUUUAUCAUUUUUAGGAGGUCAGGGUGUGACUAGGGUGGGUAUGUUAGUUUGUCUUGUCUAGGGGUUUUGUAAGUCGAGGUUUAUUGUAUGUCUAUAGUAGCCUGAAUUGGUUCCCAAUCAGAGGCAGCUGUUUAUCGUUGUCUCUGAUUGGGGACCAUAUUUAGGUAGCCAUAUGCCCUUGGGUAUUUUAUGGGUUUUUGUCUGUGUAGUUGCCUGUCAGCAGUCGUUUAUAUAGCUUCACGUUCGUUUUGUUAUUUUGAUAGUUUGUUUCGUGUUCUUUCUUUAAUAAAAUAAGGAAGUAUGUAGUAUACCACGCUGCGCCUUGGUCUCCUCCUUAUGACGGACGUGACACCAACCUAAGUAAUGAUGCAUGACCUGGAUGUCAAAGUCAUUGUCUACUCCCACUUUGGCAAGAAGUUCCCUAAGACUCACAAGAUAAGCCCUUCUUCCAGAUGGGACUACAGCUGGCCUACCACAGGGAUAUACCUGUGUGGACACCAUGGAUAACUACACGUACCUCUGCUCUCCUCGCGACGAGGUCCGCUACAUGGGCAAAGACUGCGACAAACUGUGUGACGUAUGCUCAGCUACGGAGGAGAGGACUGCCAACAGCAAGUGACCGACUGCAUUGACGAGCCAUGUCUAAACAAUGGGACUUGGAUUCGACUGCCACUGAGGUUCGAAGAGGAUCCUUGUGAAGAGGACGUGGACGCGUUUGCAUCGCACCCUCGCCAGAAUGGGGCUAUCUACAUGGAUGGGCUUGGCUCAGUUUCCAGGGCUACAACUGCGAGAUUGAUAUCAAUGAGUGUGCCUCAUGGCCCCGUGAGAAUAACGGAACCUGCAUCAAUAAGAAGGACC
ensembl:lncRNA